GUGCGGAGGGGUAGAAUUGCUUGCAACUUUGAGACCGGCGCACGGGUGCGUAACGCGUAUGCAAUCUACCUUUGACAGAGGGAUAGCCCAGAGAAAUUUGGAUUAAUACCUCAUAGUGUAAUUGAAUGGCAUCAUUUAAUUACUAAAGUCACAACGGUAAAAGAUGACCAUGCGUCCUAUUAGCUAGUUGGUGUGGUAACGGCAUACCAAGGCGACGAUAGGUAGGGGUCCUGACAGGGAGAUCCCCCACACUGGUACUGAGACACGCACCAGACUCCUACGGGAGGCAACAGUGAGGAAUAUUGGACAAUGGGCGCAAGCCUGAUCCAGCCAUGCCGCGUGCACGAAGACGGUCCUAUGGAUUGUAAACUGCUUUUAUACGGGAAGAAACACUCCCUCGUGAGGGAAUUUGACGGUACUGUAGGAAUAAGGAUCGGCUAACUCCGUGCCAGCAGCCGCGGUAAUACGGAGGAUCCAAGCGUUAUCCGGAAUCAUUGGGUUUAAAGGGUCCGUAGGCGGUUUGAUAACUCACCGGUGAAAGCCCAUCGCUCAACGAUGGGAACGGCCAUUGAUACUGUCAGACUUGAAUUAUUGGGAAGUAACU
rnacentral:rRNA from 1 species